rnacentral:lncRNA from 1 species
GAAGCAGCUAUCACAGGGUCUGGAACAUAGUACAUCCCAGCCUUCUUGCACAUAGAAACACUACACAGCACUUCAGCUGUAUGUUUGGGGGCCAUUUUAAACAGCAAAAUCAUCAACAGGAAGCAGAAAAUUGUAAAAAUUGUGGCACUAAAUAGACCAUGUAAAGGACACAUGUUUGCAAUAAGAAAGCUGAAACAAGAAGGGGGAGUGUCACCUUAUUUGAUCCAGCUAGAAACUCAGGUGCUGGUAUUCCAGCAACACUCAGGCGGCUGCUCCAGGAGGCUGCAGAGGGGUCCUUUUUAGCCGUCAACAAAACUGGCUAUGGUCACGCCCAUUGGGAAACUCAUUGCUGCCUUCAAGGUUCUGUCAAUAGAAGAUACUAAAGAAAGAAAGCCAGGAGAAGAAAAGGGACUUCUUUCUUCAAGGUCUAAGCUGUUCUAAUAGCAUUAUUCUGGGAAUGGCAUCUUCCACUCCUCCUAGUACAAAGAACCUGCUUCCUCAUACCCCGUCAAGGAACUGCAGCAUCCAGGUGAUGGCCACAGUGGCAGAACCUAGGAAGCCAAGAAGAAACCAGAGAAUGGAGACACAUGGCAGCAAUGGCAAGUCAUCAGACCCAGGAUUUCCCAAAGAACACUGGUCCAGGAAGAUGCUCUGUGAAAAAGUGUUCCCUGGUCGGAGAAAUUUGUGAAACACUUUGCAUAAUACUUAAAAGAAUGUAUGGCACAUCAAAGAUCUUAUAACAGUCUCCGCAGGAAGCAGCUGCAGUCAUUAGCCAUAGGACAGACUAAACACACAAUCUGCAUGGAAGGAGGCCUGGAUCAGCUUGGUCUUUCAGAUCUCUAAUCUCAGGCACAGGAAAGCACCAUCAACAGCACCCUUUGUAUAUAUACAUAAAGCAUGAAGGAAUUGCAAAGAUAGCAAGUAGAUAAAAGACGUACUUCACAGGAGCAUCCAGCCUCCUAUAGGUAAUUUAACUUCUCUGAGAUGGAGUUUUUCAUCUGUAAAAUAUGGAUAAUCAUACCUACUUAUGGGGCAACUUUUGAAGAUGAAAUAAAGUAAUAUGUUUAAAAGGCACUUUAAAAAUGGUAAAGUACUACUACUACUAAAAGGGUUAUAAUGAUUUCCAUGAAGAGGAAAACAAGUAAUAAAUAAUUAAGCUGACAUCAAUAAAUGAUUUUUGAAGAGAA